CAUACACACCUUCACUGAUUAACCAAUCUAUGUUCUGAAUCUAACUAACUCUUGGUAAUAGUUGACAGAAUGAUAUUAUGGUUUCAAGCAACCUAAAAGGAUUUUCACCACAGGUCUCUCGGCUCAGCCUUAGAGAUCAGAUGAAGAGUUUGCAGUCGCUGCUCCUUUAUGUCAAAAGGAGCCACUUCAGGUUGUUGGAGCAUAAAUCAGAAUCCUUUUUUUCUGGGGGUUUUCUGGGCACGUUCAACUAGGUGGAGACCCAGAACUCGUUGGAGGGACUACACAUCCCAUCAGGCCUGGGAACAAGAGCUGGAGAACCAUGCAGAGAAGCUUCCUGGCCACAGAUACCCAAUAUCAGAUAAGUGGAAGAGGAUGAAUGAAUGAAUGGACGGAGCUGUCAGGGUUCAUCAGGGGAAUCUACAGAUGUGUAUAUAGUUUUUCUGAGGAGUUGGUAGAAACUAAAAACAGAUCAAACAGGACGUAUGUUCACACAAUCUUGAUCUGUCUCCUCGGGAAACCUUCACGAACAUUUGUUUUUACUUUGUUAUAUUUCCACUGAAAACUUUUUUUUCAUUGAAAUGUUGAAGUCGACACAACUCUCAAAUAAAAAGCAACUUGUGUCUCAUGUCCAACGGCAGCGCUUAAGCAUUUUAAAAUGGCGUCUAACAUGUUUGUAACAUGCAGGAUUAAUCUAACGUGGACACAACUUUGGACAGCUUUGGCUCCUGGGUAACCAGCAACCGUCAGUGCAGAGUUCAAAGCAUGCUGAGCGUCACGCCGAGUUUCCUGCCGUCAUCUGGAUUCCUCGUGACUCAGCCCCUCGGGCCGACCCGGACAACGAACCAAACGCACCAUUCAUCCAGCCAGAGCCGAGUCUGACCGCUAAACUCCUCUCGCAGUGGACGCCUUGGGGAGCGAAACGCCUGCUGCAUCAUCCUGAGUUUUUCACUGAGUGAAAAUCUGGAAUCUGUAUUAAAAAACCUGAAGUCA